GAGAGAAUUGCAUGAUAGUGUUUUGUACUUGAUUUGUGCAAGUUAUGGAAGCUCAAAAAAGGGGAUCAGCGAAAGGAAAGCGCAAGGUCGAGAGUACUGUGCAACAAACAAGAGUUGGCCGAGAUGCAUUUUUUAAUUUCAUGAAAAAAGAACGACAUGAAAUGGGGAAAGUGGCCAAUGCAAAGUUGGACCAUAAGGUACAAGAAGAGAUUAGUAAUAAGUGGAG